CAACCUCAAAAAGAAUCUUUUAUACCAGAUUGCUGACAAAGUCCUGGUCCUUGG
rnacentral:misc_RNA from 1 species